GGAGAGGUGGCUGAGUGGCUGAAAGCAGCGGUUUGCUAAACCGCCAGCUCGGGGAAUCCCUGGGCUCGGGGGUUCGAAUCCCCCCCUCUCCG
rnacentral:tRNA from 1 species